CCCUUCGUAAUUUCAGUCUUUCAGUAUUAGAUAUUGUAGUUAUAAAAAUUAUUUUGUUUACGUUAUUAUGGUUUUGAGACCUGCAUAAUGAUGCUUGCUGCUCCUGAUCAAAACCUCCAGUCAAAAUAGCCAGGAGAAAUAUGACUUAUAAUUUAUAUUACGGAAAUCUGUGCAGGUCUCGUAAUAAUGGGGAAUAUUUUGCGUUGCGAUGUAAAUUUUGUUAUUAUAUUUUUAGAUACGAAUUUAAAUUUACUUUAUUUUUUGUCAACGCUUAAUUAUAUUUUAGUGGAACAUUCUGUAAUGUAAAAAUUCUGUAAUGUUUUUAUCGUUUAUUUGUGGAAACAGUAUUUUAUGCGACGUCAUAGAUUCCUGACAGGAUUUUCACUCGUCAAUUAUUUAAUUUAGCGAUAGGGUUGGGAAGGCUUUGUCACGUGACUAGACUCUACAAGAGGAUUGACAGUUAAAAGGACUACAGUUCCCAAGUGUGCAACGGCUACAAAACUGAAGACUUUACUGGGGGAGAGGGAGGGUAAUCUUUGGUGGGAUAGUAAUACCACGCACGGGAUGUGAAACGUCAGAUUAUGUGAAUGCAAAGAAGCAAAAAGCUGAAUUUUACUUUGUCAGUCAUUCUAUUCCAGGAAUAGUAGGACAAACGUACUAACAAAAUGACGUUUGGGAACAGUUCCGGCCAACUGCAAACGACCUUCGUACAACAAAUGAACCUGGUUGGUAAACCCUUUAAGCACUGUUAAAUCGUUUUGGCAAACAGUGGCAGAC